UUUAGUGGCACUCCUCCAUCUCUCUGGGAGAUCCAACACUUGAGGGCUUAUGAGCCGUUUCAGUAUGAAUGAAAGGGAGAAGAACAGAACAGAGGCUAUAAAGCAUGGCUUCAGCAUCUGCUUCUGCUGAGAGCCUCAGAAAGCUUCCGGCUAUGGCAGAAAGUGAAGGUCAGCAAGCAUCACAUGAAUUACAAAUCUAGUUUAGCCCAGGACCAGAUGGAUUCACAGCCGAAUUCUACCACAAAUUCAAAGAAGAGCUGGUA
rnacentral:lncRNA from 1 species